rnacentral:rRNA from 1 species
AUUGAACGCUGGCGGCAUGCCUUACACAUGCAAGUCGAACGGUAACAGGUCUUCGGAUGCUGACGAGUGGCGAACGGGUGGGUAAUACAUCGGAACGUGCCUAGUAGUGGGGGAUAACUACUCGAAAGAGUGGCUAAUACCGCAUGAGAUCUACGGAUGGAAGCAGGGGAUCGCAAGACCUUGUGCUACUAGAGCGGCCGAUGGCAGAUUAGGUAGUUGGUGGGAUAAAAGCUUACCAAGCCGACGAUCUGUAGCUUGUCUGAGAGGAAGAUCAGCCGCACUGGGACUGAGACACGGCCCAGACUCCUACGGGAGGCAGCAGUGGGGAAUUAUGGACAAUGGGCGCAAGCCUGAUCCAGCAAUGCCGCGUGCAGGAUGAAGGCCUUCGGGUUGUAAACUGCUUUUGUACGGAACGAAAAGCCCUGGGUUAAUACCCUGGGGUCAUGACGGUACCGUAAGAAUAAGCACCGGCUAACUACGUGCCAGCAGCCGCCGUAAAAC